UGCGCUGGGGAUUACUAAUCUCAUAUCUCCAUGAACAACUCACCUACUUACAUACGUUAUGCUAAUUGGAUAACCACAUAGUAUCAUUGCAUAUUGACACCAUGGCCGACUUUGGGAUAAUGAUGAGGCCAUGUCUUCUGANG
rnacentral:rRNA from 1 species